CAUACCUUUGUAAUUAAGGGAAAAAAAAAAGAGUUUGUGCUGAGGACUUCUUUCCCUGCUCUCCAGUUUUGGCAGUAGAGAGAAGACAAUUCAAUGCAAUAAUCUGAUGUUUCUUUGUGUUCUUCUGUGGGCUGAAGGGAUGGAUUAUUGUUCAGCCAGAUGAGUUCACUUUGCCACCUCUGCUCCUCACUUUAUACUGCAUCAAUGGCAGCAGGGGGAACUCACCUCAAAAAACCCACCUAAAAGCCCCAGUAAACAGCCCCAAAUCCCAAACCAUCCCUCAGCCUUUCUGGUGGCGCAUCCUGAGCAGUGUCAGGCAAGUGAACACCCUUAGGAGGGGGGGUGCUUUUUGUGCUGGGCUCUUGAGAACUUGGCCAAACUGUAAAGAGAUUCUGGUGUUUCCAGAUGCCUUGGGAAGAAUUCCUGUCCUUUUCCUGUAUCUUACCUCCCUUUUCCACUCCCUGAUUUCAUUCCAUUUUUGUGUUACGCUUGAGGCUGUCAGCAGUGAGGGAAGGAGGGUGCUUCAGGCAGCCAGAGAAGGGAACAGGAGUGGAGCACCCAGGAGCUUUGGUCUGUAGUGUAAAAAUGCAGGAUUUUCCUUGGCAGGUGACUGGUAUGGGAAAGCUUUGUGUGGAACUUGGUCUGUAAGGAAUAAACGUGUCCAGCUGCAUCUCAUUCCCCUUAAAAUCCCUGUUCACCAUAAAUACCUUGAGGGCUGAGAUGCUGCGAGCUGUGCUGUCUUUAGGAAUUCCUUUGCUGUCCUAAUCCAGCUCUUUCCCCUCCAGAGGUGGCAGGUCAGGGGGUAAAACUGCCUCAUUUGGGGGCAGUACCCCAGUGAUCACUUUUGUGCCUCGUGAAGAACAGAGAAACCUCCCCAGGCCCCAAAUGCCUCUCAGCAAAGCCGGACAUCUUUCCUAAUUUAGUCCUGAGCUCCCUGGCAGAUUGUGUUAAGCCUGGUGCAUCCUAAUCAGGGAGAUGGGCCCAGACAGCCGGGGGGUGUGACAAGGACACUGCCUUGGCACUGCUGCUCCAGCUGACAUCACGCCGGAAAUUAAUUACUAAUGUCUAUUAUGAUAAUUACCGGCCUCGCGCAGACGUGAAGGGACUUUGCAGCGGCUGAUUACGCUGGGCACACGGUGACAAUCUGUCUUUGGGAGAGCUCUCCAGCCUGGAAAUGGAAUCCUGGAGGAUUCCAGCCCCCUUGGCUGCUGCCUGUGUUUCUCCCCAGUUUGGGGUUUUCUUUGUUUUCCUCCGGGUUAUUAUUUUCCUUCUCGCAAUCCCUGCCUAGUAACCUGCUUCCUGAUGAAAACACUUAGGGAAACCAUCUUUUUCCUCCCUCUCUCUCUCUUUCUUUUUUUUUAAAUCAUUUUCUAAUUUUAGCCACGUUUGACAGCAGAGCUGAGAUCUGAGGCAUAAAUUUUGUGGUAACUUUUAUGUUGGAGAGGAGGAAAACAUCAAAUCCGUGGCCUAGACUUGGCUCCUGUCAGAUGAGAGACACCCGUGCAGGAGGGAGGGGAGAACAGAAAUGCUUCAUCCCUGAGAAGUUCAGCUUGUACUUCAGUAGCACCAGACAACCCAAAUAUGAAGCUGUAUCUUGAAAGUUCUUCUGCUUUAGUGCUCCUGGAACUCUUUUUUUGAAGUAAAGCUAGGAAAGAUUUUGUUGUUUCAGCUCUGCUAAGUCAACGUGAAAUCCCGUGAAGUCCAAAUUCUGAGAUCUGUGUUCACAUCUAGGCUUGUCUGGGGCUAAUUAAAUAGCCCAGAUAAUGACCCAGGGGGGAAAUCCUCAAUCCCAGGGCAUGCAGAGGACAUUCCCUGAGGGAUGAUGUCAGGCCAGUGACACAUCCCCCGUGUCAGGGAGCCCCGUGAUCACAGAGCUGCUGCAGCACCACCAAGGCUGGGCACUCACCUGUGGGAAUUUUGGGUUUGAACACCAUGGGGGAGAUUAAAUCCACAGAUUGCCUUUGGUCCUCUUCAUGUCAGGAUCUAAACCUCGUAAGGAGGCAGCAGGAUAAACGUUAGGCUUGACUUCACCUGGUUUCUGAUGCAAUCUGGAUCUGGCUGGAGCUUUUCUCAUAGCUGGUGCCUUUAAAACCUUCCCUGAAUCUGCUGUCAGGUACCCUCUGGAUUGGAUGGGUUUGACCUGAGCUGAAACCAGAUCCCUUUUUAUUUAUGGUGGACUUGGAAUUUCACAACCCCUUUUUCAUUGGCAAUAUUUGUGUGUAUUCAGGCAAGGUUUUUUUCCAAUUGGCAGAGAGCUGGACAGAAGCAAAGGGGAGAAACAUAAUCUGAAAAUAAAUGUAAAUUCAGUUCUCA